rnacentral:rRNA from 1 species
AUUGAACGCUGGCGGCAGGCCUAACACAUGCAAGUCGAGCGAGCGGCGGACGGGUGAGUAAUGUCUGGGAAACUGCCCGAUGGAGGGGGAUAACUACUGGAAACGGUAGCUAAUACCGCAUACUAUCAGAUGUGCCCAGAUGGGAUUAGCUAGUAGGUGGGGUAAUGGCUCACCUAGGCGACGAUCCCUAGCUGGUCUGCGAGGAUGACCAGCCACACUGGGACUGAGAAACGGGCAAGACUCCUACGGGAGGCAGCAGGGGGGAAAAUUGCACAAUGGGCGCAAGCCUGAUGGAGCCAUGCCGCGUGUAUGAAGGAGGCCGUAGGGUUUUAAAGUACUUUCAGCGGGGAGGCGUUACCCGCAGAAGAAGCACCGGCUAACUCCGUGCCAGCAGCCGCGGUAAUAC